UCGUCCAUGUAUCCAUAUUUCAUUGCCGAAAUAUUACAUGUGUAUCUAGACGUUUUUUACACAUAGAUACAUCCGUAUUUGGACAAAUUUGAGACGAGUAAUAGAGAUCGGAUGGAGUACAAUUUUUUCCCCUUCUUAUCUGGUCACCACAUACACAAAUUUGCACAGAACUGAACCACG